GGUCCUACGGGGGGCAGCAGUGGGGAAUAUUGGGCAAUGGGCGCAAGCCUGACCCAGCAACGCCGCGUGAAGGAAGAAGGCUUUCGGGUUGUAAACUUCUUUUCUCAGGGACGAAGCAAGUGACGGUACCUGAGGAAUAAGCCACGGCUAACUACGUGCCAGCAGCCGCGGUAAUACGUAGGUGGCAAGCGUUAUCCGGAUUUAUUGGGUGUAAAGGGUGCGUAGACGGGCUAACAAGUUAGUUGUGAAAUCCCUCGGCUCAACUGAGGAACUGCAACUAAAACUAUUAGUCUUGAGUGCGGGAG
rnacentral:rRNA from 1 species